GACGAACCGUCCUAACGUUAUUCGGAUUCACUGGGCUUAAAGGGCGCGUAGGCGGUUUACCAAGUCCGGGGUGAAAUCUUUCGGCUCAACCGGAAAAGUGCCUUGGAUACUGGUGAACUUGAGGGAGGUAGGGGCAUGUGGAACUUCCGGUGGAGCGGUGAAAUGCGUUGAUAUCGGAAGGAACGCCGGUGGCGAAAGCGACGUGCUGGCCCUCUUCUGACGCUGAGGCGCGAAAGCCAGGGGAGCAAACGGG
rnacentral:rRNA from 1 species